GAUGAACGCUGGCGGCGUGCCUAAUACAUGCAAGUCGAGCGAACGGACGAGAAGCUUGCUUCUCUGAUGUUAGCGGCGGACGGGUGAGUAACACGUGGAUAACCCACCUAUAAGACUGGGAUAACUUCGGGAAACCGGAGCUAAUACCGGAUAAUAUUUUGAACCGCAUGGUUCAAAAGUGAAAGACGGUCUUGCUGUCACUUAUAGAUGGAUCCGCGCUGCAUUAGCUAGUUGGUAAGGUAACGGCUUACCAAGGCAACGAUGCAUAGCCGACCUGAGAGGGUGAUCGGCCACACUGGAACUGAGACACGGUCCAGACUCCUACGGGAGGCAGCAGUAGGGAAUCUUCCGCAAUGGGCGAAAGCCUGACGGAGCAACGCCGCGUGAGUGAUGAAGGUCUUCGGAUCGUAAAACUCUGUUAUUAGGGAAGAACAUAUGUGUAAGUAACUGUGCACAUCUUGACGGUACCUAAUCAGAAAGCCACGGCUAACUACGUGCCAGCAGCCGCGGUAAUACGUAGGUGGCAAGCGUUAUCCGGAAUUAUUGGGCGUAAAGCGCGCGUAGGCGGUUUUUUAAGUCUGAUGUGAAAGCCCACGGCUCAACCGUGGAGGGUCAUUGGAAACUGGAAAACUUGAGUGCAGAAGAGGAAAGUGGAAUUCCAUGUGUAGCGGUGAAAUGCGCAGAGAUAUGGAGGAACACCAGUGGCGAAGGCGACUUUCUGGUCUGUAACUGACGCUGAUGUGCGAAAGCGUGGGGAUCAAACAGGAUUAGAUACCCUGGUAGUCCACGCCGUAAACGAUGAGUGCUAAGUGUUAGGGGGUUUCCGCCCCUUAGUGCUGCAGCUAACGCAUUAAGCACUCCGCCUGGGGAGUACGACCGCAAGGUUGAAACUCAAAGGAAUUGACGGGGACCCGCACAAGCGGUGGAGCAUGUGGUUUAAUUCGAAGCAACGCGAAGAACCUUACCAAAUCUUGACAUCCUUUGACAACUCUAGAGAUAGAGCUUUCCCCUUCGGGGGACAAAGUGACAGGUGGUGCAUGGUUGUCGUCAGCUCGUGUCGUGAGAUGUUGGGUUAAGUCCCGCAACGAGCGCAACCCUUAAGCUUAGUUGCCAUCAUUAAGUUGGGCACUCUAAGUUGACUGCCGGUGACAAACCGGAGGAAGGUGGGGAUGACGUCAAAUCAUCAUGCCCCUUAUGAUUUGGGCUACACACGUGCUACAAUGGACAAUACAAAGGGCAGCGAAACCGCGAGGUCAAGCAAAUCCCAUAAAGUUGUUCUCAGUUCGGAUUGUAGUCUGCAACUCGACUACAUGAAGCUGGAAUCGCUAGUAAUCGUAGAUCAGCAUGCUACGGUGAAUACGUUCCCGGGUCU
rnacentral:rRNA from 1 species